rnacentral:rRNA from 1 species
UACAGAGGGGGCAAGCGUUGUCCGGAAUUACUGGGCGUAAAGGGCGCGUAGGCGGCCUGUUAAGUCGAACGUGAAAUCCCCGAGCUCAACUCGGGAACUGCGUCCGAUACUGGCAGGCUUGAAUCCGGGAGAGGGAUGCGGAAUUCCAGGUGUAGCGGUGAAAUGCGUAGAUAUCUGGAGGAACACCGGUGGCGAAGGCGGCAUCCUGGACCGGCAUUGACGCUGAGGCGCGAAAGCCAGGGGAGCAAACGGG